rnacentral:rRNA from 1 species
GACGAACGCUGGCGGCGUGCUUAACACAUGCAAGUCGAACGGAAAGGCCCUGCUUUUGUGGGGUGCUCGAGUGGCGAACGGGUGAGUAACACGCGAGUAACCUGCCCUUGACUUUGGGAUAACUUCAGGAAACUGGGGCUAAUACCGGAUAGGAGCUCCUGCUGCAUGGUGGGGGUUGGAAAGUUUCGGCGGUUGGGGAUGGACUCGCGGCUUAUCAGCUUGUUGGUGGGGUAGUGGCUUACCAAGGCUUUGACGGGUAGCCGGCCUGAGAGGGUGACCGGCCACAUUGGGACUGAGAUACGGCCCAGACUCCUACGGGAGGCAGCAGUGGGGAAUAUUGCACAAUGGGCGGAAGCCUGAUGCAGCAACGCCGCGUGUGGGAUGACGUCCUUCGAGUUGUAAACCGCUUUCGCCUGUGACGAAGCGUGAGUGACGGUAAUGGGUAAAGAAGCACCGGCUAACUACGUG